UACAGAGGUCUCGAGCGUUAGGCGGAAUCACUGGGCUUAAAGCGUGUGUAGGCGGAUCGGUAAGUACCUUGUGAAAUCCCACAGCUUAACUGUGGAACUGCUUGGUAUACUGCCAGUCUUGAGCCACUUAGGGGCUACCGGAACAAAUGGUGGAGCGGUGAAAUGCGUAGAUAUCAUUUGGAACGCCAAUGGUGAAAACAGGUAGCUGGGAGUGUGCUGACACUGAGACACGAAAGCCAGGGGAGCGAACGGG
rnacentral:rRNA from 1 species